GACAGAGGGUGCAAACGUUGUUCGGAAUUACUGGGCGUAAAGCGCGUGUAGGCUGCUUGGAAAGUCGGAUGUGAAAGCCCUGGGCUUAACCCAGGAGGUGCACUCGAAACUUCCGAGCUUGAGUUCUGGAGAGGGUGGCGGAAUUCUCGGUGUAGAGGUGAAAUUCGUAGAUAUCGAGAGGGACACCGGUGGCGAAGGCGGCUGCCUGGACAGAAACUGACGCUGAGACGCGAAAGCGUGGGGAGCAAACAGG
rnacentral:rRNA from 1 species